rnacentral:rRNA from 1 species
GACGAACGCUGGCGGCGUGCUUAACACAUGCAAGUCGAACGGAAAGGCCCUGCUUGCAGGGUACUCGAGUGGCGAACGGGUGAGUAACACGUGGGUGAUCUGCCCUGCACUUUGGGAUAAGCCUGGGAAACUGGGUCUAAUACCGGAUAGGAGCCAUUUUUAGUGUGAUGGUUGGAAAGUUUUUUCGGUGUAGGAUGAGCUCGCGGCCUAUCAGCUUGUUGGUGGGGUAAUGGCCUACCAAGGCGGCGACGGGUAGCCGGCCUGAGAGGGUGGACGGCCACAUUGGGACUGAGAUACGGCCCAGACUCCUACGGGAGGCAGCAGUGGGGAAUAUUGCACAAUGGGCGCAAGCCUGAUGCAGCGACGCCGCGUGGGGGAUGACGGCCUUCGGGUUGUAAACUCCUUUCGCUAGGGACGAAGCUUUUGUGACGGUACCUAGAUAAGAAGCACCGGCUAACUACGUG